rnacentral:rRNA from 1 species
UACGUAGGGCGCAAGCGUUGUCCGGAAUUAUUGGGCGUAAAGAGCUCGUAGGCGGUUUGUCGCGUCUGCUGUGAAAACCUAAGGCUCAACCUUGGGCUUGCAGUGGGUACGGGCAGACUAGAGUGCGGUAGGGGUGACUGGAAUUCCUGGUGUAGCGGUGGAAUGCGCAGAUAUCAGGAGGGAACACCCGAUGGCGAAGG